GAUUGAUGAUGGUAGCAGAC
rnacentral:piRNA from 1 species